rnacentral:rRNA from 1 species
AUUGAACGCUGGCGGCGUGCUUAACACAUGCAAGUCGAACGGUAAGGCCCUUCGGGGUACACGAGUGGCAAACGGGUGAGUAACACGUGGGUGAUCUGCCCUGCACUUCGGGAUAAGCCUGGGAAACUGGGUCUAAUACCGGAUAGGACCCUGGGAUGCAUGUCCUGGGGUGGAAAGCUUUUGCGGUGUGGGAUGGGCCCGCGGCCUAUCAGCUUGUUGGUGGGGUGAUGGCCUACCAAGGCGACGACGGGUAGCCGGCCUGGGAGGGUGACCGGCCACACUGGGACUGAGAUACGGCCCAGACUCCUACGGGAGGCAGCAGUGGGGAAUAUUGCACAAUGGGCGCAAGCCUGAUGCAGCGACGCCGCGUGAGGGAUGACGGCCUUCGGGUUGUAAACCUCUUUCAGCACCGACGAAGCGCAAGUGACGGUAGGUGCAGAAGAAGGACCGGCCAACUACGUGCCAGCCGCCGCCGUAA